UAAUACGUAGNUCCCGAGCGUUGUCCGGAUUUAUUGGGCGUAAAGCGAGCGCAGGCGGUUUGAUAAGUCUGAAGUUAAAGGCUGUGGNUCAACCAUAGUUCGCUUUGGAAACUGUCAAACUUGAGUGCAGAAGGGGAGAGUGGAAUUCCAUGUGUAGCGGUGAAAUGCGUAGAUAUAUGGAGGAACACCGGUGGCGAAAGCGGCUCUCUGGUCUGUAACUGACGCUGAGGCUCGAAAGCGUGGGGAGCGAACAGGAUUAGAUACCCUGGUAGUCCACGCCGUAAACGAUGAGUGCUAGGUGUUGGGUCCUUUCCGGGAUUCAGUGCCGCAGCUAACGCAUUAAGCACUCCGCCUGGGGAGUACGACCGCAAGGUUGAAACUCAAAGGAAUUGACGGGGGCCCGCACAAGCGGUGGAGCAUGUGGUUUAAUUCGAAGCAACGCGAAGAACCUUACCAGGUCUUGACAUCCCGAUGCUAUUUCUAGAGAUAGGAAGUUACUUCGGUACAUCGGUGACAGGUGGUGCAUGGUUGUCGUCAGCUCGUGUCGUGAGAUGUUGGNNNAANNNNNGCAACGAGCGCAACCCCUAUUGUUAGUUGCCAUCAUUCAGUUGGGCACUCUAGCGAGACUGCCGGUAAUAAACCGGAGGAAGGUGGGGAUGACGUCAAAUCAUCAUGCCCCUUAUGACCUGGGCUACACACGUGCUACAAUGGUUGGUACAACGAGUUGCGAGUCGGUGACGGCGAGCUAAUCUCUUAAAGCCAAUCUCAGUUCGGAUUGUAGGCUGCAACUCGCCUACAUGAAGUCGGAAUCGCUAGUAAUCGCGGAUCAGCACGCCGCGGUGAAUACGUUCCCGGGCCU
rnacentral:rRNA from 1 species